UACGGAGGGUGCGAGCGUUAAUCGGAAUCAUUGGGCGUAAAGCGCGUGUAGGCGGCCUGCUAAGUCAGCUGUGAAAGCCCUGGGCUUAACCCAGGAAGUGCGGUUGAUACUGGCAGGCUUGAGUACGGGAGAGGGUAGCGGAAUUCCCGGUGUAGAGGUGAAAUUCGUAGAUAUCGGGAGGAACACCAGUGGCGAAGGCGGCUAUCUGGACCGAUACUGACGCUGAGACGCGAAAGCGUGGGUAGCAAACAGG
rnacentral:rRNA from 1 species